rnacentral:rRNA from 1 species
AGUGAACGCUGGCGGUAGGCCUAACACAUGCAAGUCGAACGGCAGCACAGUAAGAGCUUGCUCUUACGGGUGGCGGGUGGCGGACGGGUGAGGAAUACAUCGGAAUCUACUUUUUCGUGGGGGAUAACGUAGGGAAACUUACGCUAAUACCGCAUACGACCUACGGGCGAAAGCAGGGGAUCUUCGGACCUUGCGCGAUUGAAUGAGCCGAUGUCGGAUUAGCUAGUUGGCGGGGUAAAGGCCCACCAAGGCGACGAUCCGUAGCUGGUCUGAGAGGAUGAUCAGCCACACUGGAACUGAGACACGGUCCAGACUCCUACGGGAGGCAGCAGUGGGGAAUAUUGGACAAUGGGCGCAAGCCUGAUCCAGCCAUACCGCGUGGGUGAAGAAGGCCUUCGGGUUGUAAAGCCCUUUUGUUGGGAAAGAAAAGCAGCAGGUUAAUACCCCGCUGUUCUGACGGUACCCAAAGAAUAAGCACCGGCCAACUUCGUG